UUCUUUUGAGUAAGCUCCGCACCCAACGUGGGGCUUGACUUCACCACCCCGAGAUCAAGAGUCGCGUGCUCAACCGCCUGAGCCAGCCAGGCACCUGCUUUGUUCACCAUGUUUGCCACUGUGAAUGACACCACCUAAAUCUUCCCUCACCUAUAUCCAUCGGUUCCUAAGAAUAGAAGCCAUCCCGGAGAAACGUGAAAUUCACAUGGCGUAAAUUUAACCAUCGGUGAUCUUUAGCACAAUCGUAGCGUUGUAUCACCACUACCUAGCUCAUCACCUAGGCCUAAAAUAUUUUCAUCACCCUAAAAGGAACCUUGCGCCUAUUUGUGUCAUUCUCCAAGCCUCUCUCCUUCUGGCCUCUGGCGAUCAUUAAUCAGCUUUCCUUUCCUGUGAAUUCACCCAUUCCGGGCACUCCAUACCAACGAGGUCCUACAGGAGGCGUGUGACUUCUUUCACUCAGCGUGGUGUUUUCAAGGGUCAUCCACACUUGAUCCACAGAAGCUGGAAAGCUCCUUGGCAGCUCGUUGCCAACUAUGCUGGUGGAUUUCCAGGAAUAUGUUCGUUUUCCUGAUAGAAGGGACAGAUGCGACUGGCUCCAGCCCCUCCCCUACCUCUUCCUGCCUUGAACACUGACACGAUGCCUGGAGCUACAGCAGCCAUGUUGCUGCACCGUGAGCUGAACGCCAAGGGGAUCACAGAGCGCCUGACCCUGGUACCAUUCAACCAGCAACAGCAGCUACCUACUUCCAGAUUCCUUGUUUGGGGAGAAAAUACAAGCCACUCUGAAUCAGGCUGUCUGCCGUGUGUAGCCCCCCCCUCCCAACUCUCACAGAUUCAUUUCUUAUGCUACUUAGACACGACAGUACAAUGACAUAAUUAUAUUUAUGAUUGCAUUUUGCUUGGCAAUUCAAAAGCCAAUUCCCCAAAGUCAAAUCUUAAUGGGCUCCUUGAGAGUUGGUGCCCCCAGGUUUCUUUUUUAAUGAAUUGGAAAUUUGGGGCUUAAAAAUAGAGAUAAAAACAAAUCAGACCCUCCCCUCCAGGCUCCCAUCACAGAGGCUGAUCUUCAAAGGGACCACCCAAGUCACCUAAGUGCCAUGAGGGGCCAAUUACACCUGUAUCACCCAGGUGGCUUUUUCCUCUUCUUACCCAGGACUAUACAGGGAUCCCCGAAUUCUGUAGGGACUUGGACAUCCCAGUGACAAUUGUCGGGCACUUUUAAUCUCUCCUGCACUGCUGCAGACUGAGCAAAGAAGCUUCCACUAUCGGAGCGCCUGGGUGGCUCAGUUGGUUGAGCGUCCAACUUCAGCUCAGGUCACAAUCUCAUGGUUUGUGGGUUCGAGCCCU